ensembl:lncRNA
AUGAAAUAUAAUUUUAGGGCUUGCCAGGCGGUGUACACCAGUGUGACCUUACACCUCACUCUCAUACCUUCAGGCUUAUUUGGACGCAAUGGAGCAAGCAUUGACGAAGAGAAAAAGGUGCAGGUUAAAGGUCACCAUUCAUCUGUCCAGUUAGCCAGUAGUAACCAGGAGGUGAGGCCUGUGAAACCAUCUGGACCUCCACCCUCUGACCCACUUCCAUCCAAACAGGACACAUUGAUGAACCAACCUAAACCCAACCAGGAAGGGUUCUCCCUUGAUCCCAAGCCAAAAGCUCCACUGUUCACCAAAGUGGUUCCUCCCCUGGAGAAGAGCUGCAAUUCAGGGAAAGAAGGUCCACCACGCACCGACCAGAAACUGAGACCGCAGAGUCCCGCGCCCAAGCCGGUUCUCACCCCAAAAGGUGCUGCUCCUCUGGUCAAGACCUGCCCACCCAGAGUGGCCGCGCAGAUACGGACCCCAGCCGGCUCGGACGCGGAGCGAAGCAAGAACCCUCCCGCAACCUGUACGCAGGUCAACGAGAAUAAAACGGCGUCUCCAGCGAGCCCUGCUCAGCCGAAAGUGGCAGGAAUGUCAGUCCCAUUAUCGCCAGCAGACGGGUCACUUAGACAUGCCCACAGCUGUCCAGAGGCUUUACAGAGGUCUGAUAAAUCCGGACGUGAGAGUGACGUGUAA